rnacentral:rRNA from 1 species
CAGCCGCCGCGGUAAUACGUAGGUGGCAAGCGUUGUCCGGAAUUAUUGGGCGUAAAGGGCUCGCAGGCGGUUUCUUAAGUCUGAUGUGAAAGCCCCCGGCUCAACCGGGGAGGGUCAUUGGUAACUGGGAAACUUGAGUGCAGAAGAGGAGAGUGGAAUUCCACGUGUAGCGGUGAAAUGCGUAGAGAUGUGGAGGAACACCAGUGGCGAAGGCGACUCUCUGGUCUGUAACUGACGCUGAGGAGCGAAAGCGUGGGGAGCGAACAGGAUUAGAUACCCCAGUAGUCCCUGUCUCUUAUAC